rnacentral:rRNA from 1 species
GACGAACGCUGGCGGCGUGCCUAAUACAUGCAAGUUGAGCGCUGAAGGUUGGUACUUGUACCAACUGGAUGAGCAGCGAACGGGUGAGUAACGCGUGGGGAAUCUGCCUUUGAGCGGGGGACAACAUUUGGAAACGAAUGCUAAUACCGCAUAAAAACUUUAAACACAAGUUUUAAGUUUGAAAGAUGCAAUUGCAUCACUCAAAGAUGGUCCCGCGUUGUAUUAGCUAGUUGGUGAGGUAAAGGCUCACCAAGGCGAUGAUGCAUAGCCGACCUGAGAGGGUGACAGGACACACGGGGAGUGAGACAGGGCCCAGACUCGUAAGGGAGGAAGAAGUGGGGAAUAUUGCACAAUGGGAGCAAGCCUGAUGGAGCGACGCCGCGUGAGGGAGGACGGGCUACGGGUGGUAACCCGCGUGCAGUAGGGAAGAAGCGAAAGUGACGGGACCUGAAGAAGAAGCAACGGCUAACCACGUG